GAUUGUAGUCUGCAACCCGACUACAUGAAGCUGGAAUCGCUAGUAAUCGCGGAUCAGAAUGCCGCGGUGAAUACGUUCCCGGGUCUUGUACACACCGCCCGUCACACCAUGGGAGUCGGAAAUGCCCGAAGUCUGUGACCCAACCUACGGGAGGGAGCAGCCGAAGGCAGGUCGGAUGACUGGGGUGAAGUCGUAACAAGGUACC
rnacentral:rRNA from 1 species